GUCGGGGUAGCUCAAUUGGUAGAGCGGCAGGCUCAUCCCCUGCAGGUUCUCGGUUCAAUCCCGGGUCCCGACGC
rnacentral:tRNA from 1 species